rnacentral:tRNA from 1 species
GGGCUGGUUGCUAUGCUGGUGCAGGCCACAGUCUUCAAAACUGCUUGUGAGGCGCGUGUCGUCUCAGGUGGGUUCGAUUCCCACACAGUCCC